AGCGUGCCCGGGGCGAGCGCCUGCAAGAGGUUGUUCCCCAGGUACAGCUCUUCCAGCCGCGAGAGCUUCUCGAAGGUCUUGGGGUGCAGAGAGCGGAUCUGGUUGUACUGCAGGUCCAGCCGUCUGAGCUGCCCCAGACGGUGGAAGUCGAAGGCCGUGAUGUUGGUUAUGAAGUUGCCGCCGAGGCUGUAGGUGCCACCCUGCGGGAAGUUUGGGCAGCACGGAGUCCGCCAGCAUUCUACAGGAAGUUUGGGGGAGCACAAGGUUGCCUGCAGAAGGCCAUCAGAAGGGGGUAGGUGAACCCAGUCUGACAGUUGCUGCUUGGGUUUUGACGUCGUUGGACUAGUAGCUGAGGAGAGGCACCACCCCCUUUUAGGUGUCUGAAGGGAGUAUUUACUCCAUCCUGCUGUGGGCUAGAACAUGAAGAAAUCACAGAACUGGUUCUGCCAACAUGAAAGUGUCUCUGCCACAUUUUGGUGAUUCAGUCGCAUUAACUCUCCUACAGUAAUAGAGCCCCUGGGGUAGGCUCUGCUCGUGUGCACAUACAUAAUAACCUUCACAGAUCCUAAGGUAAACGUUCCUUGCAGG
ensembl:lncRNA novel transcript